AGACAGAGGUGGCAAGCGUUGUUCGGAAUUACUGGGCGUAAAGAGUCUGUAGGUGGUUUGUCAAGUCUUUGGUGAAAGGCCGUAGCUUAACUAUGGGAAUGCCAAAGAGACUGGCAGGCUGGAGGCUGGGAGAGGGAAGCGGAAUUUCUGGUGUAGCGGUGAAAUGCGUAGAUAUCAGAAGGAAGGCCGGUGGCGAAGGCGGCUUCCUGGAACAGUCCUGACACUGAGAGACGAAAGCGUGGGGAGCAAACAGGAUUAGAUACCCUGGUAGUCCACGCCCUAAACGAUGGGUACUAAGUGUGGAGGGGUUAAACCCUCCGUGCCGCAGCAAACGCAGUAAGUACCCCGCCUGGGGAGUACGGCCGCAAGGUUGAAACUCAAAGGAUUGACGGGGGCCCGCACAAGCGGUGGUGCAUGUGGUUAAUUCGACGCAACGCGA
rnacentral:rRNA from 1 species